rnacentral:lncRNA from 1 species
AAUUCUCUGUUGUUGCUGUUGUUGACGAGGUUGAGGUGCUGGAAUUGUCACAGCAGCAACCUGACGAUAUUGAUUUCUAUUCCCAACUCUUCUACCAUGUUGCACAGCACUGGCUUCACCCUCUCUUCGGCGAGGUGCCCCAGCAAAAGGUUUCUUAGAAGACGAGGAACCCACAUCCUGAAUUUUACCAGCUUUGAUCAAACUCUCUGUCCUCUCUCCACAGAUAACCACAUCUGAAAAACCACCGAAGGGG